rnacentral:rRNA from 1 species
AUUGAACGCUGGCGGCAUGCCUUACACAUGCAAGUCGAACGGCAGCACGGGUGCUUGCCCCUGGUGGCGAGUGGCGAACGGGUGAGUAAUACAUCGGAACAUGUCCUGUAGUGGGGGAUAGCCCGGCGAAAGCCGGAUUAAUACCGCAUACGAUCUACGGAUGAAAGCGGGGGACCUUCGGGCCUCGCGCUAUCGGGUUGGCCGAUGGCUGAUUAGCUAGUUGGUGGGGUAAAGGCCUACCAAGGCGACGAUCAGUAGCUGGUCUGAGAGGACGACCAGCCACACUGGGACUGAGACACGGCCCAGACUCCUACGGGAGGCAGCAGUGGGGAAUUUUGGACAAUGGGCGAAAGCCUGAUCCAGCAAUGCCGCGUGUGUGAAGAAGGCCUUCGGGUUGUAAAGCACUUUUGUCCGGAAAGAAAUCCUUGGCUCUAAUACAGUCGGGGGAUGACGGUACCGGAAGAAUAAGCACCGGCUAACUACGUG